UACAGGGGGCGCGAGCGUUGCUCGGAAUCACUGGGCGUAAAGCGUACGCAGGCGGACCGUUAAGUCGCAUGUGAAAUCCCGGGGCUCAACCCCGGAAGUGCAUGCGAAACUGGCGGUCUUGAAUACGGGAGAGGUGAGUGGAAUUCCUGGUGUAGAGGUGAAAUUCGUAGAUAUCAGGAGGAACACCAGUGGCGAAGGCGGCUCACUGGCCCGGUACUGACGCUGAGGUGCGAAAGCGUGGGGAGCAAACAGG
rnacentral:rRNA from 1 species